rnacentral:rRNA from 1 species
AGUGAACGCUGGCGGCAGGCCUAACACAUGCAAGUCGAACGGCAGCACAGGAGAGCUUGCUCUCUGGGUGGCGAGUGGCGGACGGGUGAGGAAUAUAUCGGAAUCUACCCUUUCGUGGGGGAUAACGUAGGGAAACUUACGCUAAUACCGCAUACGAACUGAGGUUGAAAGCGGCGGACCGCAAGGCGUCGCGCGGAUGGAUGAGCCGAUAUCCGAUUAGCUAGUUGGCGGGGUAAAAGCCCACCAAGGCGACGAUCGGUAGCUGGUCUGAGAGGAUGAUCAGCCACACUGGAACUGAGACACGGUCCAGACUCCUACGGGAGGCAGCAGUGGGGAAUAUUGGACAAUGGGCGCAAGCCUGAUCCAGCCAUGCCGCGUGUGUGAAGAAGGCCU